AAAAACAAACCGCGAAUAUCACAGCCAGUUCAGAGCAUAGUAAUAAUCUCCAUAAAGCAAAAACAAACAACGAACGGAAAAGAUGAAUAAAAAACUCACUUUGAGAACAUUAACAAGGUCGUCACUGUCAUCAGCAUUCAAAGCUACAAAAAAAGAUAUUUAGUUAAGAGAAAUUCAAACCCAAUACAACAAAAAUGAAGAGAAACAAAGAAUUAAGACUAUAGGAUUCUGUUUAAGUAGAUAAGGUAUUUACCAGCUGCGAGAUCGGCAACGUUGAAGUUAUCUUUGGUGUUGCUCAUUCUGGAUUUGCUGAAGCAAGAAAUCAGAAGAAGCAACCAAAGGGAAUAACCCUAAAAACAGGGGAGGAAAAUUGGGGAAAGAGAUGAGAGAAAUGGCUAAGCGCCCAAAUUUAAGCUCUUCUCUAUCUCUGUCAGAAAACCUAGCAGCUUACUGGGUCCAAUAUAUUGACUCUCUUUUAAGG
rnacentral:lncRNA from 1 species